rnacentral:rRNA from 1 species
AGUGAACGCUGGCGGUAGGCCUAACACAUGCAAGUCGAACGGCAGCACAGUAAGAGCUUGCUCUUACGGGUGGCGAGUGGCGGACGGGUGAGGAAUACAUCGGAAUCUACUUUUUCGUGGGGGAUAACGUAGGGAAACUUACGCUAAUACCGCAUACGACCUACGGGUGAAAGCAGGGGAUCUUCGGACCUUGCGCGAUUGAAUGAGCCGAUGUCGGAUUAGCUAGUUGGCGGGGUAAAGGCCCACCAAGGCGACGAUCCGUAGCUGGUCUGAGAGGAUGAUCAGCCACACGGGAACUGAGACACGGUCCAGACUCCUACGGGAGGAAGCAGUGGGGAAUAUUGGGCAAGGGGCGCAAGCCUGAUCCAGCCAUACCGCGUGGGUGAAGAAGGCCUUCGGGUGGUAAAGCCCUGUUGUUGGGAAAGAAAAACAGCAGUUUAAUACCCCGCUGUUCUGACGGUACCCAAAGAAGAAGCACCGGCUAACUUCGUG